CCUUAGAGUUUGAUCAUGGCUCAGAACGAACGCUGGCGGCAGGCCUAACACAUGCAAGUCGAGCGCGCCUUCGGGUGAGCGGCGGACGGGUUAGUAACGCGUGGGAACGUGCCCUUCAGUUGAGGAUAGCCCCGGGAAACUGGGAGUAAUACUCGAUACGCCCUUUGGGGGAAUGAAGGAUCGGCCCGCGUUGGAUUAGGUAGUUGGUGGGGUAACGGCCUACCAAGCCGACGAUCCAUAGCUGGUUUGAGAGGAUGAUCAGCAACACUGGGACUGAGACACGGCCCAGACUCCUACGGGAGGCAGCAGUGGGGAAUCUUGGACAAUGGGGGAAACCCUGAUCCAGCCAUGCCGCGUGAGUGAUGAAGGCCUUAGGGUCGUAAAGCUCUUUCGCCAGGGAUGAUAAUGACAGUACCUGGUAAAGAAACCCCGGCUAACUCCGUGCCAGCAGCCGCGGUAAUACGGAGGGGGUUAGCGUUGUUCGGAAUUACUGGGCGUAAAGCGCGCGUAGGCGGACUGUUAAGUCGGGGGUGAAAUCCCGGGGCUCAACCCCGGAACUGCCUCCGAUACUGGCAGUCUAGAGUUCGAGAGAGGUGAGUGGAAUUCCGAGUGUAGAGGUGAAAUUCGUAGAUAUUCGGAGGAACACCAGUGGCGAAGGCGG
rnacentral:rRNA from 1 species